UACGUAGGGUGCGAGCGUUGUCCGGAAUUAUUGGGCGUAAAGAGCUCGUAGGCGGUUUGUCGCGUCGGCCGUGAAAACCUGCCGCUUAACGGUGGGCGUGCGGUCGAUACGGGCAGACUUGAGUUCGGUAGGGGAGACUGGAAUUCCUGGUGUAGCGGUGAAAUGCGCAGAUAUCAGGAGGAACACCGGUGGCGAAGGCGGGUCUCUGGGCCGAUACUGACGCUGAGGAGCGAAAGCGUGGGGAGCGAACAGGAUUAGAUACCCCCGUAGUCC
rnacentral:rRNA from 1 species